rnacentral:rRNA from 1 species
AACGAACGCUGGCGGCAUGCCUAACACAUGCAAGUCGAACGAGACCUUCGGGUCUAGUGGCGCACGGGUGCGUAACGCGUGGGAACCUGCCCUUAGGUUCGGAAUAACUCCCCGAAAGGGGUGCUAAUACCGGAUAAUGUCUUCGGACCAAAGAUUUAUCGCCUUUGGAUGGGCCCGCGUUGGAUUAGCUAGUUGGUAGGGUAAAAGCCUACCAAGGCGACGAUCCAUAGCUGGUCUGAGAGGAUGAUCAGCCACACUGGGACUGAGGCACGGCCCAGACCCCUACGGGGGGCAGCAGGGGGGAAUAUUGGACAAUGGGCGAAAGCCUGAUCCAGCAAUGCCGGGGGAGUGAUGAAGGCCUUAGGGUUGUAAAGCUCUUUUACCCGGGAUGAUAAUGACAGUACCGGGAGAAUAAGCCCCGGCUAACCCCGU